rnacentral:rRNA from 1 species
UACGGAGGGUGCAAGCGUUAUCCGGAAUCACUGGGUUUAAAGGGUGCGUAGGCGGCAUGAUAAGUCAGAGGUGAAAGCUUACAGCUCAACUGUAAAAUUGCCUUUGAUACUGUUGUGCUUGAAUGAGGGUGAGGCAGGCAGAACGUGGCAUGUAGCGGUGAAAUGCAUAGAUAUGCCACAGAAUACCGAUUGCGAAGGCAGCCUGCUGGCCCUGAAUUGACGCUGAGGCACGAAAGCGUGGGGAUCAAACAGGAUUAGAUACCCUGGUAGUCCACGCCCUAAACGAUGCUAACUCGACAUGUGACUGUAAGGUUGCGUGUCCAAGCGAAAGCGUUAAGUUAGCCACCUGGGGAGUACGUCGGCAACGAUG